rnacentral:rRNA from 1 species
UACGUAGGGCGCAAGCGUUGUCCGGAAUUAUUGGGCGUAAAGAGCUCGUAGGCGGCCUGUUACGUCUGCUGUGAAAUCCCGGGGCUUAACCCCGGGCGUGCAGUGGAUACGGGCAGGCUGGAGGCAGGCAGGGGAGAACGGAAUUCCCGGUGUAGCGGUGAAAUGCGCAGAUAUCGGGAGGAACACCGGUGGCGAAGGCGGCGAUCUGGGUCGAUACUGACGCUGAGGUGCGAAAGCGUGGGGAGCAAACAGG